GUGACUGUCAACAGACAUUUGAGUAAAUUGGAGAAAAGACUUCUAUCAGGGAAGCAGAACCCCAGCUGGAGUCCACAUUUCAUGAUCCUUUUGUGGAGAAGUGAACCACAACAGCAUGACUGUGUGACCAGUUUCCCCAACACCAGUUGUUAUCUGAAGAACUCUAAGUUACCAUGUGAAGAAGUCAUUCUGGAAGAGAAGUUUCUGCACAGCAGUGUGACUUGUGGGUGAGAUAUUUUUUGAACCUCCAACCAGCCCACCUGAAACAAUACACCAACUUGCAGAUGCUACCAUGAUGCCAACCUGACUCCCCCGGGCAGACAACCUCAUCAGUGUACCCUGGAACCCCAUCUCUCCAGAGCCCCGCCCCACUAGAGAAAGACAGAAACAGGAGUUUCUAUGGAAAUAUGGGAGUAUGAAUCGACAUAACAAUGCCCCAUGUUCAGAGAAGAAGCAAUUACAGAAGCUAGACCUUCCACCUUCUGCACCCCACAAUGAUCCUAAGUCCAUGCUCCCAGAGAGAUAAAGAACAGAAAAGCUUCCAGUGGAGGGGAUGGGAUAUGGAAAUUUGGUGGUGGGAAAUGUGUGGAA